rnacentral:rRNA from 1 species
AUUGAACGCUGGCGGCAGGCUUAACACAUGCAAGUCGAGCGAGCGGCGGACGGGUGAGUAAUGUCUGGGAAACUGCCUGAUGGAGGGGGAUAACUACUGGAAACGGUAGCUACUACCGCAUACCAUCAGAUGUGCCCUGAUGGGAUUAGCUAGUAGGUGGGGUGAUGGAUCACCUAGGAGACGAUCCCUAGCUGGUAUGAGAGGAUGACCAGCCACACUGGAACUGAGACACGGUCCAUACUCCUACGGGAGGCAGCAGUGGGGAAUAUUGCACAAGGGGCGCAAGCCUGAUGCAGCCAUGCCGCGUGUGUGAAGAAGGCCUUCGGGGUGUAAAGCACUUUCAGCGAGGAGGCGUUACUCGCAGAAGAAGCACCGGCUAACUCCGUGCCAGCAGCCGCGGUAAUAC